GACAGUUUUUAUACAUUUAAAUUAUCUAUCCCAACAUACAGCAGCUGUUUUCUAACUGCAGAAUAGUGACUCUGCUGUCAUCCCCAUGCCAGUGCUGUAAAGGGAAUGUUGCCUUCCACAGGAAUGUGCACAUCUUAAAUGAAAAACUCAAGACACAUUUGGAAGCUAGUGACAUCUGCAUUGACCCCAUGCUUUUCUACUGAACACCUAUUCAAAUCUGCUUCUCAGUCAGGUUUGUUCAUGCUCCAAACACAACCAAGCACAGCACUGCUGCCACAGACCUGAAGGUAAGGAAUCAGCCAAGAUUCAAAGCUGUUUUUCUUACAUAGGUGCACAAAUACAAAACAUUACUUCAGGGAACACCCUGGCACCAAGACUGCUCAAGUGGAAGUAACACAUCCAGCUGGCACCAAAUCAAUACAGUGCUAAGGAACAUCUACAGCAGCUUUGUGCUGGGCACUUCUUCCACAGAAGCAUCAGGUUUUGGCUCGCUAACACCAAAAGGUGCAAUGCUGUCAGCCUGGGAAGGAAUAAAGGACUUCCAGAGGUGUGAGAACCAUACCUGCUUAACCCUUUCCAUCUUCAACUUCUUUGCUGCAGAGUA